rnacentral:rRNA from 1 species
GUCUAUGGCCAUACCACCCUGAAUGCGCCCAAUCUCGUCUGAUCUCGGAAGCUAAGCAGGGUCGGGCCGGGUUAGUACUUGGAUGGGAGACCACCUGGGAAUACCGAGUGCUGUAGGCU